rnacentral:misc_RNA from 1 species
AAGAUGGCCUCUUCAUAAUCCACCUGACAUGACAAACAUUCAGCAAAGAGAGAGCAAAUAUAAAUUUUAAAUUUGAGAUCAACACUUUUCACUUUGGGAUACCAAUGCACAAACUAUGCACAAGCGCCAACUGGCAAAACACAAAUUAAAGAGAUUUCUUUUCUUCCAUCAUUAAUUUGUUUAAAAAAUAAAAUUUGACCACCAUAACAAUGCUAUCAAAAAAACUAAAACCAAUGUUCUAAAUCAUAAUU